GAUGAACGCUGGCGGCGUGCCUAAUACAUGCAAGUCGAACGAAACUUCUUUAUCACCGAGUGCUUGCACUCACCGAUACAGAGUUGAGUGGCGAACGGGUGAGUAACACGUGGGCAACCUGCCCAAAAGAGGGGGAUAACACUUGGAAGCAGGUGCUAAUACCGCAUAACCAUAGUUACCGCAUGGUAACUAUGUAGAAGGUAGCUAUGCUACCGCUGUUGGAUGGGCGCGCGGCGCAUUAGCUAGUUGGUAGGGUAAAGGCUUACCAAGGCAAUGAUGCGUAGACGAAUUGAGAGGUUGAUAGGCCACAUUGGGACUGAGACACGGACCAAACUCCUGCGGGAGGCAGCAGUAGGGAAUCUGCCACAACGGGCGAAAGCCUGACGGAGCAACGCCGCGUGUGUGAAGAAGGUCUUCGGAUCGUAAAACCCUGUUGUUAGAGAAGAAAGUGCGUGGGAGUAACUGUUCACGUUUCGACGGUAUCUAACCAGAAAGCCACGGCUAACUACGUG
rnacentral:rRNA from 1 species